UCGUGAAGAGCAACUUCUACUUAUUGUUUUCUUACGUUGCUAUUGAUUUACGCUUGCUAGUUACUAUACAGUAGACACGGGAAGUUACUGGCAUGCAUAUCUCUCAAUACCCAAGGGCGGGGCAACUCCGAUCACUCCUCUGCACGUCAUUUCUGCUGCUGCAAGCUGCAUUUGGAGCAUGUCCAAGGGUCCUCGUCUUCUGGAAGCUCUGAAAUCCCAGCACAAUCGUAGUGAUACCACCGCCAACAGUGUUCACAACCCACCCAAUCUUCUUGCCUCUCAUUGCUGUCGUUGUCGAACAAUCCUCCGCAUCCCUGGCACUUGUUUUCAUCUCUUUCUUCUGUUACUGCAGUUUUUCGUUUGCCUUGGCGUGCAGAGUAGGCCUCAUGACUUGUUAUGACUUCUCCAUAGUAUGCCAAGUCUACACGAGCAGAUGGCUUUGGCCGUGGUGGUGGAAUAGGCGUUCUUGUUUUCUGGAACAACUUGGAGAAGUGGUGUCUAAAAUGAAGUUUGAUUGCAGGAGUGGUAGCUGCUGUCGGAGAAUGAGGGCUCUUGCAUGGUGUUCAUGUAGUAACAGCAUCUGCUGGACUAAUUUUUGCUUGAGGAAUGGCUGCAGCUGAUGGCUUUGGAUAUAAACCAGCUCCUUGAAAUGCACCUUGAAAUUGGUGUGGUUUCAUGGAUGUGUCUGUCAGCUGUUUUAGUAAUUUGGGAAAAUUGUUUUAUGGACACCUUGUCCCCCUGUUCUUCGUUUGUAGUCGGUCAGAAUCUUCUGCCAAUUUUUCUUCAUGGGAGCAAACACGCCUACAUCCAGAGGUUGUAGUGUGAGUGGUAUUUGGAGGCAGGGUUACGAGAAUGAUGUUGUAUUUUCUUGCCACAUUGAUGACAUCCAAGUUGAUGAGUGAAUGGUGGCCAUCGAAACACAAGAUCACGCUGGGGCUAGUAUCAUCUGUGAAGUCUGACUCAUCACUACUGUCACUGACAAGACAUGGUUCUGUUGUCGUCAGUGUAGUAGAUGGCUCUUCAUUUUCUGCAAUAAGUUUCAUCUUCUUGAGCACUGG